rnacentral:tRNA from 1 species
GGGGAUUUAGCUCAGCGGCAUAAGCGCCUGCCUUGUAAGUAGGCAGUCGUAAGUUCGAUCCCCA